rnacentral:rRNA from 1 species
UACCUGGUUGAUCCUGCCAGUAGUUAUAUGCUUGUCUCAAAGAUUAAGCCAUGCAUGUCUAAGUACAGUAGCAAUUACAGUGAAACCGCGAAUGGCUCAUUAAAUCAGUCAUAAUUCCUUGGAUAGUGAUAAAACUUCCUCGGAUAACUGUGGAAAAUCCAGAGCUAAUACGUGCACCUGAGCUCCGACCUUGGCCGUUUCGGCGGUCGAGGGAAGAGCGCAAUUAUUAGUUUCAAAACUGACCGACGCAAACGAGCUGUCCGCAGUGACGCGCGUCGUUCGUCUUUUUUGAUGACUCCGGAUAAUUCCGCCGAGCGCUAAGGUCUUCGUACCGGCGCCGUAUCUUUCAAGUGACUGCCUUAUCAGCUUUCGAUUGUAGGUUAAACGCCUACAAUGGCUGUAACGGGUAACGGGGAAUCAGGGUUCGAUUCCGGAGAGGGAGCCUGAGAAACGGCUACCACAUCUAAGGAAGGCAGCAGGCACGCAAAUUACCCACUCCCAGCUCGGGGAGGUAGUGACGAAAAAUAACGAUGCGAGACUCUUCCGAGGCCUCGCAAUCGGAAUGAGUCCAGUUUAAAUCCUUGGACGAGGAUCCAUUGGAGGGCAAGUCUGGUGCCAGCAGCCGCGGUAAUUCCAGCUCCAAUAGCGUAUAUUAAAGUUGCUGUGGUUAAAAAGCUCGUAGUUGGACCUUUUAAGGCUCCAUUAACGUGGUUUAGGUUCGCUCUCGGGCGUUCGUCGAGCGUAUCGUAUCAGAAAGAUGCCGCGUGCGUGGGUGUAAGCUUUCGGGUUUCGCUCGCGUGUGCGCGCGUUCUUUCCGCGAGAACUCUCGGGCCAACCCUUGGGUGACGGCCUUUCCACGGAUGGUACGAAUACAAACUCGCUGGCUCGUUGGGAGUGCUCUUUAUCGAGUGUUCUCGGCGGCUAGCACGUUCACUUUGAAAAAAUUAGAGUGCUUAAAGCGGGCCCUAUGUCAAGUCCGUAUGGUGGUGCAUGGAAUGAAGGAACAGGACUUUGGUUCCGUUCUUUUUGUCGGUUUUACCGAACUAAAGUAAUGAUUAAAAGGAACAGACGGUGGCAUUAGUAUUGCGACGCUAGAGGUGAAAUUCUUGGACCGUCGCAAGACUACCUACUGCGAAAGCAUUUGCCGAGCAUGUUUUCAUUAAUCAAGAACGAAAGUUAGAGGAUCGAAGGCGAUCAGAUACCGCCCUAGUUCUAACCCUAAACUAUGCUAACUAGCUAUCCGCCGAAGUCAUUCCCACGACUCGGCGGGACGCCCCGGGAAACCAAAGUUUUUGAGUUCCGGGGGAAGUAUGGUUGCAAAUCUGAAACUUAAAGGAAUUGACGGAAGGGCACCACCAGGAGUGGAGCCUGCGGCUUAAUUUGACUCAACACGGGAAAACUUACCAGGCCCGGACAUCAGAAGGAUUGACAGAUUGAGAGCUCUUUCUCGAUUUGAUGGGUGGUGGUGCAUGGCCGUUCUUAGUUGGUGGAGUGAUCUGUCUGGUUGAUUCCGAUAACGAACGAGACUCUAUCGUACUAACUAGUCGGCGGAUCGUUACCCUGGAAUGGCGAGCUUUGGGAUGGCGACUUUUCGGAGUAAUUUCGGUUUCUUCGGGAGGGAGUCGUUUCUAGCGAGCUUAACACGGGGGCGUUCGUCGCAAUGUAUCUUCUUAGAAGGAUCAGCGGUGUCUAGCCGCACGAGAAAGAGCAAUAACAGGUCUGUGAUGCCCUUAGAUGUUCUGGGCCGCACGCGCGCUACAAUGUAAGCGUCAGCGUGCUUUCCCCCUCCGAAAGGAUCGGGUAACCCUUUGAAAUUUUUACACGCUGGGGAUUGGGGAUUGCAAAUAUUCCCCAUAAACGAGGAAUUCCCAGUAGGCGCGAAUCAUUAGUUCGCGCCGAUUACGUCCCUGCCCUUUGUACACACCGCCCGUCGCUACUACCGAUUGAAUGAUUCAGUGAGGGCAUCGGACUGGCGCCAUUGGCAAGGGGCUUUCGGGUCCCUACCUAAGGCUGACGGAAAGAUGUCCGAACUCGAUCAUUUAGAGGAAGUAAAAGUCGUAACAAGGUUUCCGUAGGUGAACCUGCGGAAGGAUCAUUA